rnacentral:rRNA from 1 species
UACCAGCACCCCGAGUGGUCGGGACGGUUUAUUGGGCCUAAAGCAUCCGUAGCCGGUUCUACAAGUCUUCCGUUAAAUCCAACUGCUUAACAGGUGGGCUGCGGAAGAUACUAUAGAGCUAGGAGGCGGGAGAGGCAAGCGGUACUCGAUGGGUAGGGGUAAAAUCCGUUGAUCCAUUGAAGACCACCAGUGGCGAAGGCGGCUUGCCAGAACGCGCUCCGACGGUGAGGGAUGAAAGCUGGGGGAGCAAACCGG